CAUUCAUCUAAGCUCACCAGCUUACUUGGCUGCCUGCAGGCUACAUCCUGUACAGUUGGUCAGCUUCCUUUGUGAGUUGGUAACCAGGUGCUGAAGGAACCGAACAUCUCCCUCUCUCCCUCUAUCCUGUUCUGUCCUGUCCUAUCCUUUUGUAUCCUGUUCUGUUCUUUUUCUCCUCUGUCUGCUUGCACCUGCAAGCUUUCUAAAAACGCCUUUCUAAAAACGCCCUUCUGAAAACGCCCAUCUUGUCCAAAAUGAUGAACCUUUACUUGUCCAAAAUGAUGAACCCUUGCCAUCGCCCAAGAUGAUUUUAGGUAUGACGAGUUUUCCCGGGCGUGCAGUGAACGUGCAAUUCCCUGGUGUUUCUCGCUGUGCUCGGUGAGAAUGACCGCUUGAACGGCCUCGAUCUGGACCGCGUUCUGGUGAAGGGAGACUUGAAGGGAGGUUUGUUUGUGACCUGCUGACCUUUGACGAGCUGCCCGGUACAGUAGAGACAGUGUUAUUAAACUCCCCCAGAGGUUCAGGUUUUUAA